GUUGGAAAGCUUAUUCAAUAACCUUCGUAUGGAACCAUCGACGGGAAAAUUCCGAUAUAAAUAAAGUCGAUUCCUAUACACCUAUAAUCAAACUAUACACUUGAAACCAUCUCAAAAUAAUCAAUACUCAUACUUAAACUCAUAUAUACCUAACUUAGGAUCAAUACAUAUACCCCAACACAUAUAACAAUGACUAAUGCACGUAAUUAAGUACGGGGUGUUACAUCCUUCCCCCCUUAAGGACAUUCGUCCUCGAAUGUGAAUGUAGUUAUUUAGCCGAAACAAGUUCAAGUCCACCAUUAACAUUCACAUCAUCACAUAAAUACUAUGCAUAUAUAAACAAAAACUUACUUGUUAAUGUUCUAACUCCGUUUCUUGAACUUCCUCUUCAUCUUUGAACAAAUGAGGGUACUUAGAUUUCAUUGCUUCCUCAGCUUCCCAUGUAAUCUCUUCCCUUUGUUGAUUUCUCCAAAGUACCUUUACUGAUGCCAUUUCUUUGUUCCUUAACUUUUUAACUUGGCGAUCUAGAAUAGCAACCGGUACCUCUUCAUAAGUAAGAUCCUCUGUGACCUGUACAUCUUCUAUAGGAGUGAUACGAGAGGGGUCACCUAUGCAUUUUCGAAGCAUUGACACAUGAAACACUGGAUGAACCAUUGAAAGUUCCUGGGGUAGCUCUAAUUCAUAUGCAACUUGUCCGACCCUCUUGGUAAUCUUAUAUGGCCCUAUGUAACGUGGGCUUAGUUUCCCUUUUUUACCAAAUCUCAUAACCCCUUUCAUUGGUGAUACCUUUAAAAAUACCCAAUCUCCAAUAGAGAAUUCCAGCCCUCUUCUCCGAAUAUCUGCAUAUGAUUUAUGACGACUUUGGGCUGUUUUUAGCCGUUGUUGUAUCACCUUGACUUUUUCUAUGGCUUGAUACACAAGAUCCGGUCCGAACAUAAGAGUUUCACCCGCUUCGAACCAUCCUAUUGGUGAUCUACACUUUCUCCCAUAUAAAGCUUCAUAUGGUGCCAUUUUGAUACUUGAAUGAUAGCUAUUAUUGUAGGCAAACUCAAUAAGAGGUAAAUGAUCAUCCCAGCUGCCUUUAAAAUCUAUAACACAUGCUCGUAGCAUAUCUUCAAGUGUUUGAAUGGUGCGCUCUGCUUGUCCAUCCGUCUGAGGGUGAAAAGCUGUACUCAGAUUCACUUGUGUUCCCAAACCCCGUUGGAAAGACUUCCAAAAGUUUGCAGUAAAUUGAGUUCCCCGAUCCGAUAUAAUAGAAGUUGGCACUCCAUGUAAUCGGACUAUUUCUUUAACAUACAGCUUCGAAUAUUCUUCAACUGUGUAAGUGGUCUUAACGGGUAAGAAAUGUGCGGAUUUAGUAAGCCUAUCCACAAUCACCCAUAUAGAAUCAAAUUUUCGAGCUGUACGAGGCAAACCUGUAACAAAAUCCAUGUUGAUCAUGUCCCACUUCCAAAUUGGAAGAUCUAUGCAUUGCAUAUAGCCUCCGGGUUUUUGGUGCUCAACUUUAACUCUUUGACAAUUUGGACAUUCAGCUACAAAUUCUGCAAUGCUCUUCUUCAUGUCAUUCCACCAAUACAUAUCUUUCAAAUCUUGAUACAUUUUGGUUGAUCCUGGAUGAAUGGAAUACCUUGAAAAAUGUGCCUCUGUCAUAAUCUUCUUUCUUAGCCCGUCUAUAUCCGGCACACACAAUCGGUUUUGGCACUGAAGUACUCCUUCUCGCGUAAGCUCAAAUGCCUUGGUCGCACCACUCUGAACGUUCUCCUUAAGAUGUAAUAAAAUAGGAUCUGCAUAUUGCUUCUCUUUCACUUCAGCUACUAAUGAAGAUUCCGCAGCAUUAUGUACGAUAAGCUCUUUAUUCGGAGUUUCAAGAAGGCGAACUCCCAAACUAGCUAACUGGUGAAGAUCUUUAACCAUCCCUUGCCUUUCUAUAGGCGCCAUCAUAGCCUUACGACUUAACGCAUCAGCUACCACAUUUGCUUUCCCUGGAUGGUACAAGAUAUCAACAUCAUAGUCCUUUAAUAGUUCAAGCCAUCUCCGCUGCCUUAAAUUUAGAUCCUUCUGAUUAAAAAUAUAUUGCAAGCUCUUAUGGUCAGUAUAUAUAUCAACGUGAACCCCAUAUAAGUAGUGGCGCCAUAUCUUUAAAGCAAAAAUAACCGCUGCCAGCUCAAGAUCGUGUGUAGGAUAAUUUUUCUCAUGUGGCCGUAAUUGUCUAGAAGCAUAUGCUAUUACCUUACCAUGCUGCAUCAAUACACAUCCUAAACCAAUUCUGGAAGCAUCACAAUACACUGUAUACCCUUCGGUGCCUUCUGGUAGUACCAACACGGGUGUAGAAAUCAACUUGUUCUUUAAAUCUUGAAAACUCUUCUCACAGGCAUCAUUCCAUUGGAAUUUGGAUGCUUUAUGGGUUAGCUUGGUUAAGGGUGCUGAAAUGGAAGAAAAGUCUUUGACAAACCUUCUAUAAUAACCGGCCAACCCAAGAAAACUACGAAUCUCCGUAGGCGUUGUGGGCCUUGGCCAGUUCUUCACAGCCUCUAUCUUUUGAGCAUCAACCUUUAUCCCUUCACUAGAUACAAUAUGACCCAAAAAUGCCACCGACUUUAACCAAAACUCACAUUUAGAGAACUUUGCAUAAAGCUUACAAUCACGAAGAGUCUGCAAUGCCUGUCGUAAGUGAUUGGCAUGGUCCUCUUCUGAUCUAGAAUAAACUAGAAUAUCAUCUAUAAAAACUAUCACAAAUACAUCCAGGAAUGGCUUAAAAACCCUAUUCAUCAAAUCCAUAAAAGCUGCGGGUGCAUUUGUUAGCCCAAAUGACAUAACUAGAAACUCAUAAUGACCAUACCUUGUUCGGAAAGCUGUUUUGGGUAUAUCUUUUUCGAAAGAAACCCAUGAAUGAACAUCCACAUACCUUAAUAGAUGAUUUCUUGAAGAUUUCUUGAGGGUUUCUUGAAUUUGAAGCUUGAGUUCCUUGGUUUUUUAGGGAGAAAAAAAUUGAAAUUGGUGAUUUUGAGAAAGUGGGAAGGGUUUUCUUGAGAUGGAUUUAGAGAAGAAGGGCAAAUAAUGCUCUAAAUGAUGUCUCAAUUCGUGUUAUGCAUGAUUUGGGUUGAGGGGAACAGACACAAUUUCCCCUCAGGCAAUUAAAUUCAUAACUGGGCAUAACAUACUUACCGCAACGCGGUCUAAUUGAAGUCAUCCAUUUCCCUUACCGCAACGCAGUGAGCAUGCAAAUGGAAAUAUUAAAGCGACGCAGCCGUAUCGCAGUGACUUUCUGGAUUUGUGAUCCAAACAUGACCGAAACCUCAUUCAAAAAAUUUGAAACUUCUCUAAGACAUGCUCCUUACAUCCCUGAAUAUGAAUUAACUCAAAAACCAACACCUUAGGAUCGGGAAGACCAAUCGAAAAAUCCUCGAAGUUAAGAGGACUUAUAAAUGACUAAUUCCCCAACACUUAGUGAAAUUUUUAGGCCUUAAGCCCCUUAUGCAUACAACUAGAAGAUGAACUGACCUAAUAAUAAUAUGGGGUAUUAUAGAAGUGCUGAAAGAAAGACUUAAUCAAAUAAUAAUUAAGCUAAGAAAAAUAGAGAACUUAAUCAAAUGGACGAGAAACCAGAUUGAAUCCAUAAUAUGAUAACUUAAUGAUAAAUCAAGUGAAGAAGAUAACACAAACAAUUUAGAAAGACACCCUAAUCACUCAAUCUAAGCUAACAAUUGAAAUUGAACCCAAUUACUGCCCUAAUAUCGAAUAACUAAAUAUCAAUUCUAUUCAAGACAAUUCACUUUUCCAAAUCUAAGUGAUGAAAAUGGAUAAAGAAACUAUUUAUAGUCAGUGCCUUUACAGAAAAAGUCUAUUACAAAAAUCUCCCUAAUGUGACCAUUUUACAAAUAACUCACAAGGGACCUUCUUAAUUGGCCAAAUGGCAUCUUGAUUGCCAAUGACCUUAUGUAUCUAUUUCUUCAUGCCUUCCUUCAAACUCCAAGAUAUCAUCCAUACAUGGAAGACCCUCCUAAUAUGUUCCAAGCUAAUCAUGAUCCACUUCAUCAAAAGAAUUCAUCCACGAAUCCAAACUUUUUUAAAAAAUGAGAAGGAAAAACAACAAACAUAUCAUCGUAGCAUGAGGUUUAACACAAGGAUUAUCAAUAACAAAUUUAUGGCCAUGCCAAGGGUGUACACAUUUAACAUAUAACCAAGCAAAAAAAUGAGUCAUAAAUGGUUUGUCACCCAACAAAAAUUGAUAUACUUGGCUACAUAGGAAACAUUGACAAAGGGGCAAAUCAAAAGAACCAUGGUGUUUAGGCAACCACUGAUACAAGUCCUCAAUGGUUCUAAAUUUAGAAAAAAAAAUCUCCCUUUAAGUCAUGUAACACAUGAUAACCCAUAUAACUAUGUUUCAUGUCAUAAAUGAGGUCAUUCCAAGUCAAUACUCUAUCCAAUGCACUAACUAUCUUAAAGAAUAGAAUUACUCCUAAUUCAUCAUUGGAGAUUAAAUACGAAGGUAUUCUCUACAUAAUUUGGCAAAUAUAUCUUAUUAAACAUAUAAGAUCAAGUAAUAACACCAAGCAAUAAUCAUAUGAGAGAAAAAAUAUGUUACUACUAUACUUACCACCACGCAAGCCAACAACCUCACCCACAACUUUCUUGUCAUUUGAACCAAGUAUUUUAUCACAAACGCCACUAUUCAAAUCAUUACCAGGACAAAAGGAAAAGGCAAUCCAUAAACAUGGGUAAAAUCAUACACCUAUUUGCCCCAUUGACACUCUACUCUCACAUAACAUACUCCACUCAAAGGAAAGAGUAUCAUCAUAUGCAAAAAAAGUGGUAUAGAAAGGUGUUACUUAAAUAAAGUUUAUUUAAGGUGUGCCCACAUAUAGAAUCACCCUUUGAUCUACAAGCAUUAAGCCCUUGAUCAAGCAUGGGUUCACACAAGAAUGAAUAGGUCAUUGGAGAACAUACACCCCCUUCUUUUGGACCACUAACCCCUCCAAUUGACAAACUAUCAUCUUUUAAGAAGAGAGUUUUGUCUUUAAAAAAUGUGUCAUCAUACCAUAGUGGAUUUUUGAUCACUUGUGUCACGCCCCAAAAUCCCAUCGGGCCGGACUGGCACCCGAAGCCGAGAAGGCCCGGGAGAACCCGUUCAAAUACCUGUACUUUCACUUACAUGUCACCAAAAAAAUUGGACAGCACUUCGUUGCAUAUAGAAAGGUCUAAUUACCUGUAUCAGCACAACACGCACAAAUAUAUAUAUAUAAUACUUGGCCGUCGGGGCCACCACAUAUACAAAUAUAACGUUACUAUAUAAACUUCCAUGACUUUACCCUUCCUUAUGUCUACAAAGCCUCUAGGAUAUACAUGACAUAACUAGGGUCGGGACAAACCCCCGCCCACACGUGACUCAUGUACAAUAACAAAACAUAAGGAACCGACUCGGAAAGCUCCGAAGCAAACUGGAGCUCACCAACAAUAGCUGUAUGACCUGGCUCCUACUUGUGCGGUGUAUGAGUUGAGGUACCUGUGCCUGCAGCAUGAAAUGCAGGUCCCCCGUGAGGGACGUCAGUACGAAAUAUGUACUGAGUAUGUAAAGCUGUAAAUAAUCACAUAUGAUAUAGGAGCUCAAUAGAAAUCAGAAACAAGUGAAUAAGUCGUAAUAGGAGUGGACCACACUUACUAGAACUUGUGACAACCUGUACAUUGUAUUUAUUCAAUCACUUUACCUUCGUUCUUAUCGUCUUUGUAAUCAUUACUGUACUGUACUGUGACCAUUAGGAUGCCUCCAGUACAUAUCAACUGGGAUCGACCCAUGCUAGGCUUAUGCCCCUGGGAUACCACCCAUAAACACAUGAAAUAGGGAUCGACCCAUGCUAGGCUUAUGCCCCUGGGAUACCACCCGAUAAGAGAGAACUUUCAUCACUUAGUUCAAUUAAUCUUUGAGAUUGUUAUUUCGGUCGUCACCACAUUUUUGAUACCUUGAAACAAUGAUACAUCAAUAGGAACCAAGUAAUAGACCUUCUAUACAAUAACGAUGUAAUAAGGACUCAUUGGUACAUCAACAAUAUGUUUCAGAAUCAUCAAUAUCACAACAAUGAAAUAAGAGCCUUUUGGUAUAUCAAUGAACAUUUUGACACUUUAUAGGAUGGAAACAACUUCGUUGGUAACGUAGAACAAUACAUGUUUUUGGACAACCUCGGAAUCUUACUUGAUGGAACAUUGGUGUUUUCAUGCCAAAGAACAUUGUUAGAGUAUGCUUUACAUACCUCGUUGUAGAUUCAGAUACCAAUUCAACACAACUUCCCGCCUUUACAAAUCACUUAUCUACAAUGAAAUGUUUGGCAUCUAGUAUUAGCAACCCAACACCACAAUUCUCUUCCAUAAUUCCAUACUACCAAUAUUUGCAAAACAUUCCAAAAACCAACUUGAACAAUAGGUUUAUGUGUGUAUAUGUAUAUAAUCAUCAUCUCAAUACCACAUCAUCAAUACCACAUCAUCACCCCAAAUUCCUUCACAAUUUAACAUAAUCCAACCAUGCACAAGAAUAAUCCAACAUCAUUUCCAAUCAUCUUUCAACAACAAUCAAAUAACAUACUUCUUAUGCUCACAUGCAUAUAUAUAUAUAUAUACAUAUCCAUAUAAAUAACACCAACAUAAUUUACAUCCUUACCAAAAAAAAUGGCCCUUUUGAUUUCGAAGUCCUGUUGGCACAAAUAAGGGGUGCUUCUCGAAGCCCUUGAGACGGUGAACACAACUACGGAAUCAAUUUGGAUUUUCUACGGUUGAAUCACAAGAUAAUUGGAGUUGAACUUAGGCUAGGGUUUCUUAUUCUUCAAUGAUUUGGAUGAUAAAUGGUGGAUAUAAGGCUAAGUAUAUGUAUAUAAUGACCAAUUUUCGUCCAUGAGGUGAUGGAAAAUGACCAUAUUGCCCUUAAAAAUUUAAGUAAAUCCGAAUCUGUCCAUGGUGGACUGUUUUGAUAGGCUAAAGUAAAUCGGCCAUAACUCUUUGCUCCGAUAUCGGAUUUGGGUGAAAUUGGUAUCGUUAGAAAGAUAAUUCAAAGGUCUUUCAUUUAAUAUAAAUUAAUCCACCCAGUUCGUCCUGUACAAGUAGUUAUGAUCGUUUGAAGUUGACCCUAAAAAUCUGUUUUGAGAGGCUGAAGUAAAACGAGUAUAACUCCUUACUCAGAUGUUGGAUUUGGAUGAAACCAAUUUCAUUGGAAAGAAGACUCAAAGAUCUUUCUUUUGAUAUAUGGUAGCUCAACCAGUUCAUUAUAUUGAGGGAGUUAUGAUCGUUCAAAGUUGACCCAAAAAACUGGCAGGCCUCAGUAGUUUCCUGCACAUUUUACUGUUCACAUCCCGGCCACCGUUUUAAAGUUUCGAACGAGCUCGCUUAUAUCCGAAACUUAUCCGUUUUUGGAAAUCUUUAUAUCGUUGGAAAGCUUAUUCAAUAACCUUCGUAUGGAACCAUCGACGGGCAAAUUCCGGUAUAAAUAAAGUCGAUUCCUAUACACCUAUAAUCAAACUAUACACUUGAAACCAUCUCAAAAUAAUCAAUACUCAUACUUAAACUCAUAUAUACCUAACUUAGGAUCAAUACAUAUACCCCAACACAUAUAACAAUGACUAAUGCAUGUAAUUAAGUACGGGGUGUUACACUGCCAGAAGAAACAAAUGGACUACAAGAGAGAUGGAAAAAGCUGCAGUACAGGAAAAAUGUGGAAUCAUCAGUAUCUCUGAAGGGGUCAGCUUUUCACAAAAUAAGCUUCUUUUGAGAAGCGUCGUCGGUAGCCUCCCUGGAGGAAUAGUAGAUACCCCGACCCUAUCAGAUAUUAGGCGCUGGAAACACAUACACGGAGUGAACAUUUAUGAGAUGGGGCAGAAUCGAUUUCUCUUCGAGUUCCCAUAAAAAACAACUGUUGAAUACAUCUUGAGAGGCAACUGGAGUUGGAAACUCCACAGACUCCGACUAUAAUGGUGGUCGUCAACAUUGGAAUCAAUCCCUUGCUCUGCAGCAAUCGAACAAGUCUAGAUCAUAUUGGUCGAACUCCCCCUGCAUUUAUGGUCGCAAAAUGUAUUCAAAGAAAUAGGAGAUUACUGCGAAGAAAAGCCAACUGAGGAAUCACCUCAAAUGGGCAAGAAUUAUGGUGAGAGGAAACGGAGACACAAUUCUGAAGACUAUCAACAUUGAACAUGAAUAGAUCAAUUUCUUGAUCCAAAUCUGGUGUGAAUUAUAGCCUAGAUUCUCUCUUUGUGAAGGAAUCAUGCAAAGAACUUCGGAUCAUCGGUUAAUAAUGGGUUCUAGCUCUAUAGGGGUGGGGCUUGAGAGGAUAGCUUCCUGACAGGGCACGUGCGUAAUUUUCAAAUAAACCCUAAUAGUCAAACACGUGACUGGCCACAUGUGAAUGCCUCCUCAACUAAAAGGCCACCAGCUUCUAAACUUUUGGGCCCAGAUUUCCUAGCCCAACAACUUAUGGUGGAAAAUACAUAUGCAACCCACUUUUUAAAGCCCAGAUCUGAUCUAUUUUUAGAAGAAGUAAACGUCAUCUCUCAAUAUACUGCCUCUCAGAAUAUUACAUAACAGGGAGAAGCUCACUCUACUGCUCCAUCCAUAGCGAAGGGAAAUUCAUCUCCAGUAACACAAAAAGGCAACGAAUAAGGUACUGAAUUCAAGUACGACAAAGAAGAGACCUUUGAAACAAAUUCUACUCUUUCUGAACCACUAGCCCCGGAUAACAUGCAACUCUCUAUUGUUAGAGAAACACCUAUUGAAGAUGUUGUCCCCAUUAUCAUCCAUACCGAAGAACAUGAGCAGGAUCCAGAUUUCGACAUUCCAAUUUGGAUACACCAAAACAUUAUCAAAAUCGGCAAGCAAUUUGAAAUUGAUUUUCAGGGAUUUGAGGAGGAGGCUCAGCAAUUACUCAUAAAGAUUGAUCAAAAGAAGCAAUCAAAUAUGGGAAAGACCAACAAGAUGCUGGAGCUCACAUCAAAGGUGAAAGGUGCUAAGGAACUGAAACGUCUUGAUUUUGGCCAUAAUUUCAAAAGCUAUGGCACCAGGAGUAGGGGGAUAUCACAUAUUGAUCAAUGAAAGUUAACUUAAUUUCAUGGAAUGUUAGAGGAUUGAAUGAUGAAAGAAAAAGGAGAAUGAUCAAGAGUUGCAUUAACACUUGGAAGGCAGAUGUAUAUUGUUUCCAAGAAACCAAAGUUGAAGGAGAUAUCAGUGAUUUCGUUAGAGACCUUUGGGCCAACAGAUGGGUCGAUCACAUCCAAUUAGAGGCUAGUGGUACCAGAGGAGGAAUUCUUCUAAUGUGGGAUAAAAGAAUUUGGGAUGGAGAGCGCAGUAGUCUGGCCAAUCAAGGUUGUCACUCCAUCGCAUGUAAAUUCACAGGCAAGAUGCAGGAUCUCACUUGUUACUUAAUAAGAGUAUAUGCACCCAAUGAUAGAAAAACUAGAGAGGAAGUCUGGGAGGAAAUUGGAGCUGCCAGAGGUCUAUUUUUAGGUCCAUGGGUAUUAUGUGGAGAUUUCAAAGCAGUUAGAUUCCCCUCAGAAAAGAAAAAUUGCAAUAGAAUCAACAAAUCAAUGACUGAUUUUUAUGAUUUCAUUCAAGAUAUGGGCUUGCUAGAUUUGCAACUAACAAGUGGGAAAUUUUACUUAGAAAAAAGGUAGCAGACACGAUGUUGCUGCAAGUUUGGAUAGAUUUUUUAUCUCUGAUGAGUGGGAUGAAAGAUUCAGGAAUAUCAAACAAUUAAUUCUUGAUAGAGUGACCUCUGACCAAUCACCUGUAUUACUACAGUACAGCAACUGAGAACCAUCCAAAUCAUAUUUCAAAUUCGAAAAUUGGUGGUUGCAAAUGGAAGGGUUCAAAGAAAUAGUUAAGGAUUGGUGGAACUCUUUCAAUUGUGUUGGCAGACCUGACUUCAUUUUGGCUUAUAAGUUGAAAGAUUUGAACGCCAAACUUAGAAACUGGAGCAAAACAUUACAAGGAAACUUGGAGAUGCAGAAGCUUGACACGCUAAGUCAAUUAUCAAAACUUGAAGAAAUCCAAGAUCUCAGGAAUUUAACAGAGGAGGAAAUAAGAAAUAAAAUAGCCUUAACUAUGGACUUUGAGGAGAUAGAAAAAAAGGAGGAGAUGGCUUGGAGACAGAGAUCAAGAGAAUUAUGGUUGAAACAAGGUGACAACAGCAUAAGUUCUUUCAUAAAACAGCUAAUGCACACAGAAGAUUCAACAAUAUCAACUUGUUAGAAAUUGAUGGUGAGCCCGUAAGGAACCCAGCUGAUAUAAAAAAGAAGAUCACCUCUUUUUAUCUGAACCUUUAUUCAGAGACAGAAAACUGGAGACCCCACUUUAACAUGAGAAUUUGUCCCACUGUCUCUUCAGAAGAUAAUUUGAUGCUACAAAGAUCGUUUGAAGCACAAAAAAUUUGGGCCAGUGUCCAAACGUGUGCCGCGGACAAAGCACCUGGCCCAGAUGGUUUCUCAAUGGCCUUUUUUAAACACUGUUGGGAAGUAGUGAACACUGAAGUCAUUGCCAUUAUUCAAAACUUCCAUGAAAGAGGCAUGUUUGAAAGAAGCCUCAAUGCUACAUAUGUAGCCUUAAUUCCCAAGAAAGUGAGAGCCAAAGAAUUGAAAGAUUUCAGGCCUAUUAGUCUUAUAGGCAGUAUUUACAAGAUCAUCUUAAAGUUGUUGACUGAGAGACUCAAAAAAGUGAUGCACAAGUUGGUGGAUGAUAAACAAAUGGCC
rnacentral:lncRNA from 1 species